rnacentral:rRNA from 1 species
CGUGGGUAACCUGCCCAAGAGAUCGGGAUAACACCUGGAAACAGAUGCUAAUACCGGAUAACAACAGAUGAUGCCUAUCAACUGUUUAAAAGAUGGUUCUGCUAUCACUCUUGGAUGGACCUGCGGUGCAUUAGCUAGUUGGUAGGGUAACGGCCUACCAAGGCGAUGAUGCAUAGCCGAGUUGAGAGACUGAUCGGCCACAUUGGGACCGAGACACGGCCCAAACUCCUACGGGAGGCAGCAGUC